rnacentral:rRNA from 1 species
AGUGAACGCUGGCGGUAGGCCUAACACAUGCAAGUCGAACGGCAGCACAGUAAGAGCUUGCUCUUACGGGUGGCGAGUGGCGGACGGGUGAGGAAUACAUCGGAAUCUACUUUUUCGUGGGGGCUAACGUAGGGAAACUUACGCUAAUACCGCAUACGACCUACGGGUGAAAGCAGGGGAUCUUCGGACCUUGCGCGAUUGAAUGAGCCGAUGUCGGAUUAGCUAGUUGGCGGGGUAAAGGCCCACCAAGGCGACGAUCCGUAGCUGGUCUGAGAGGAUGAUCAGCCACACUGGAACUGAGACACGGUCCAGACUCCUACGGGAGGCAGCAGUGGGGAAUAUUGGACAAUGGGCGCAAGCCUGAUCCAGCCAUACCGCGUGGGUGAAGAAGGCCUUCGGGUUGUAAAGCCCUUUUGUUGGGAAAGAAAAGCAGCAGGUUAAUACGCCGCUGUUCUGACGGUACCCAAAGAAUAAGCACCGGCUAACUUCGUG